rnacentral:sRNA from 1 species
GAUUUGCGUUAGGGAUCGAAGCGUAAAUCCUUUUUGAUACGGGCGCAUGCAAUGCGCCGUAGCAAAAAGAUUGCAGCGUAGAGCCCGACCGAGG